CCUACGGGGUGCUGCAGUGGGGAAUAUUGGACAAUGGGCGAAAGCCUGAUCCAGCCAUGCCGCGUGUGUGAAGAAGGCCUUCGGGUUGUAAAGCACUUUCAGUGGGGAAGAAAGCCUUGGGGCUAAUACCCUCGAGGAAGGACAUCACCCACAGAAGAAGCACCGGCUAACUCCGUGCCAGCAGCCGCGGUAAUACGGAGGGUGCGAGCGUUAAUCGGAAUUACUGGGCGUAAAGCGCGCGUAGGCGGUCUGAUAAGCCGGAUGUGAAAGCCCCGGGCUCAACCUGGGAACGGCAUCCGGAACUGUCAGGCUAGAGUGCAGGAGAGGAAGGUAGAAUUCCCGGUGUAGCGGUGAAAUGCGUAGAGAUCGGGAGGAAUACCAGUGGCGAAGGCGGCCUUCUGGACUGACACUGACGCUGAGGUGCGAAAGCGUGGGUAGCAAACAGGAUUAGAUACCCGAGUAGUC
rnacentral:rRNA from 1 species